CAUAUAUAAUAUUAUCAACAGAACUAAGCUCUAAUUUUAAAUCAUUGAUGUGGCAAUAAGGCCAGAUGUCAGAGUUUUGUGAUGUAUUUUUAAAAAUUAAAACCUACAUGCACAUUCUUAUUGUUAUAAAAAUAUAUACAUUUUAUUUAAGGGUCAUUAGGGGGCAUUUUUAUUUCGCCUUACAUGUAGUAUCUACUUCCUCAAUAUUAAUUUAUGACAACAUUAGCAGUCUUCACGCUGAACCACAGGCCACGCAGUCCAGGCUAGUAAAAUUAAUGUUGGGCCUGUAAAAAUCAUCCGUACAGGCCAACAGAGUCCAUCUAAAAUUUUCAUCAAUUAAAAUUUCGGGUAUGUAGAUUUGAAAGUUUAUUGUGAAGACUGCAUUUAAAAGGAUAACCUACAGGUAGCUCUCUUUAUGCAAUGUAAAGAAGAUGAAACUAGUGGCAUUUGUUUAUCGUGUGAUGACUUUAUAUCAAAUGUUUAUAAAUUAAAUAAGAUAUAUAUGAGUAAAAUAAGCUUAUCUUUUUUAUAUUAAAAGAUCAAUAGGGAAAAGUUCAGUCUUUUUUAAAGCCCAAUAAUUCAAAAAAUAUUAAUUGCAGCUAAAUGCAAAACAAGCAUUUGGAAUUGGCUGUGGGAGAUAUUUUGAAUUCCCUUUACAAUGUAUCUUUUGGUUACCAUAGAAGUGUCAUUACCUGGUUAGUUUGAUAUUUGUUAUACAAUUUAUUUUUUGGUAAAAUGAAAAGUGAAUUAGAGAAUGGACCCACACUUGUUACCAA
rnacentral:lncRNA from 1 species